AUUGAACGCUGGCGGCAUGCUUUACACAUGCAAGUCGAACGGCAGCACGGGUGCUUGCACCUGGUGGCGAGUGGCGGACGGGUGAGUAAUGCAUCGGAACGUGUCCUGAAGUGGGGGAUAACGCAUCGAAAGAUGUGCUAAUACCGCAUAUUCUCUGAGGAGGAAAGUAGGGGAUCGAAAGACCUUAUGCUUUUGGAGCGGCCGAUGUCUGAUUAGCUAGUUGGUAGGGUAAUGGCUUACCAAGGCGACGAUCAGUAGUUGGUCUGAGAGGACGACCAGCCACACUGGGACUGAGACACGGCCCAGACUCCUACGGGAGGCAGCAGUGGGGAAUUUUGGACAAUGGGCGCAAGCCUGAUCCAGCAAUGCCGCGUGAGUGAAGAAGGCCUCGGUUGUAAGACUCUUUCAGUUGUAGAAGAAAAAGUACGUAGACUAAUAAUACAUGAUUCAUGACGGUAUCAACAGAAGAAGACACCGG
rnacentral:rRNA from 1 species